UACAGAGGGUGCAAGCGUUAAUCGGAAUUACUGGGCGUAAAGGGCGCGUAGGCGGUGUGUCAAGUCAGGCGUGAAAGCCCCGGGCUCAACCUGGGAACCGCGCUUGAGACUGGCACGCUCGAGUUCGGGAGAGGAUGGUGGAAUUCCCAGUGUAGAGGUGAAAUUCGUAGAUAUUGGGAAGAACACCGGUGGCGAAGGCGGCUAUCUGGCCCGUAAUUGACGCUGAGGCGCGAAAGCGUGGGGAGCAAACAGG
rnacentral:rRNA from 1 species